rnacentral:rRNA from 1 species
ACUUAAAGUCUCCUGAAGGAACGUUGAAGACGACGACGUUGAUAGGUCGGGUGUGUAAGCGCAGCGAUGCGUUGAGCUAACCGAUACUAAUGAACCGUGAGGCUUAACCUU